rnacentral:rRNA from 1 species
UACGGGGGGAGCAAGCGUUGUUCGGAUUUACUGGGCGUAAAGGGCGCGUAGGCGGCCUCCGCAAGUCAGUUGUGAAAUCUCCGAGCUUAACUCGGAAAGGUCAACUGAUACUGCGGGGCUAGAGUGCGGAAGGGGCAACUGGAAUUCUUGGUGUAGCGGUGAAAUGCGUAGAUAUCAAGAGGAACACCUGCGGCGAAGGCGGCGACCUGGGUAGGUACUGACGCUGAGGAGCGAAAGUGUGGGGAGCGAACAGG